GGUUAUUUACAAACUUGAUGCUUCAGAUACUGCAAUUUGAUGGCAAACACACAUCAAAAUGGAACUUCCAUAAUUAACAACUUUCAUUCUGUCUCAAUCAGAAUCAAGUGGCAGUGACAAUGUCAAACUUAUAAGUCAUAAUGGGUGUUUUAGUUGAAAAUGAAAGGAGAAUGAAGGGAUACAUCUUCCUGUAUAGAAAUUCUGUGCAGAAUUUUUGUUUGUACACCAUCAUCCUAACAUAAAAAAACUAAUGCUGUCACAAUUUUUUAGUUUAUUCAUCAAUCAUUGGAUGAAUCCUAGGGCCUCUGAGACAAAUCUCAUCUGGGUUUCCAAAAACCAGGUAUGUAAAUGACUUUUAAUCUAGCAAAACAUAAAAAUUACAAUCUAAACAAAACUAACAGAUUAAAAUUUUUAGUUGGAGCAAUUGAGGGUGCCAGGUCCAGUUGAUAUUCUCCUUCUUGUUACUCUCUUGUAAAAUAUUUAAAAUUAACGCAAUAAUACACUUUUGUAAUAAUAGUUUUGUAUUCAUAACUUUCUGUUAUUUUUGGAUACAAUUAUUAUCGAAAGUCAAAAGCAAAGGCUAAAGUUGGUUGGGAGAAUAAGAGGUACCCUUUAUCUUUUGGCUUAAACCUUAAACCUCUUAAGCCAUAUGCCCAUUUAUUUUGUUUGUAAUUAUCUUGGCCUUUCGCUGCAGUCCAUGGAAAACUACUUCAAAAUAUUUCUCAAGUUUGUCUUUCUUCUAGUUUAGCUAUUGGUCCAAGUGCCACACAAAGACUUCUUCUUGGACUUUUAGAAAUGCCACCCUCUUGGGCACCCAAUGUGUUUGAUGGUACAUUUUUUCUUGAAGUUUAAAUGGAGAAAUUAUUUGUUUUAAAUUUAAUAAGCCUCUUUUCGUGAUAUUUUAAUAUCUCUAUGUAUUUUGAGGAUUUUGUACAAGUCUCGGAGUCAUGUUAUGAAAUCUUAAUAUCUCAUGUGUUUGAGACAUCGUAGUAAAUUUGGACUCAUGUUGAUGAGUAGUGGACUCUUUCAUUUAAUGGCAUGUAAGAUGGACUCUUUAGCUUUCAGUCUAUGAAUUGAAAGACUAGUGUCUUGUAUGCAUGCUAAUAUCUCUUGAUAAGGCAUGGUCUUCUUUCUUAUUUCAUGAGCCUAUUGUAUAAGUUUUUAGGUGAAAUGGAGCGUUUGAAGCACUUUGACCACUUCUAAAACUCAAAACACUUUUCUACCAAAAUUUCCAACACAUUGCUUGCGCAAUAAUCCAUUUUUAAAGCUCAUAUAUCUGAGACUAUUUCAAACCACAUUGUAAGGACUAGAUUAAUUUGAACCAUUAAUUAAUGCAAUUAAGACCUUGAUUAUUUAAUUAAUUCUAUAUUAUACUUGGUUAAGUUAAUUGCUAUGCUACUUAAUUUAUCAAUUUGUGUGAACGACUUUUCUGUUUCAGGUUAGGAUGGAAGGAUGGGUUCUAGUACUUAGUAGUUGACCGUUUUUGUGUUGAAAUAUUUUUUUCGAUAUGGUAAUAUUAUCUGGCUAUUAGUGUCAUUUAUUUGUGUUUGGAUCCCAAAAUUUGUAAAAUAGUACAAAAAUUGGAGGAAUUUCUGAGAAAUUUGCAUUUGGCGUAACUCACAAAUCACCUCUCAUUCCCUCAAUCACCAUUUUUUCUCACUUGUAAGUCUUGUAUACUCUCCUUAUGCCUAUUAGAUAGCAGAAAGUGAAAGACAGAGUCUAAUACAUAUAAUGUCUCUCUCCUUCUUUUCUCUUCUCUUCUUUUGUCUCUUUUUCUCUCCAUUGUUGGAGCUUGUUUGUAGAGUGUCUUGGACUUGGAGGCAAACCUUUGGAGACUUAAAGCUUGGAAGGAAGUUUGGCCACCACCCCAUCUUAUCUUCCUUACCCUUGUUUCUCUAUUAAAGCUUUAACCGAGGUAAUUCAACAUUGGAAUCAGUUGGUUAUGCUACUAUAUAUGAUGAGAUGGAUGUGAAUCAAAGUUGAUCUUUCUUUUGUAUUUCUCUUGUUGGACGGCUCAAAUUUUUAUAGUUUUGUUGUUGGAGCGUUGCUGCUGUUGAAAUGCUACCGCUGCUAGAGUGUUGCUGUUGUAAGAAACUUGUAAAGACUUGGAGUUGAAAUGUUAAAGAAUGCACUUUGUUAAAUUGGGAGCUGAAAUGCCAAAGAAUGUGCAUUGGGAGUUUAGUGUGUUUUGCUUCUAGUUGAAUUAAGCCUUAUUAUGAACAUCUAACUACUUUAAUAAUUUUGUGCAAUUCGUUUAUGAUGUUUACAAUUACACAGUUAGAUAUUUUGACAUACAUGUGUAUUUAGAGUGAAGUUAUCCAUAUGUGGGUUUUGGUUGGCAAAA